AUACCAUGCUAAUGACUUUCUAGAGUAUCUAAUUGAGGUGCUUAUCAUAUUUAUUAUGUGGCUAGAUCAGACUAAUUAUCUUUAUCACUAUUCAUUAUUUCAUAUAUCUUUUAUGUGACACUUAUCCCUGUAUGAAGAGUUAGAUAAAUAUUCUCAAUUAUACAUGCAAUGAUAGAUGCUCAAUCUCAUAUUCUAUUCUGUAAUCAAUAGUGAUGAUUGCUAAUCCCU
rnacentral:lncRNA from 1 species